rnacentral:rRNA from 1 species
CCUACGGGAGGCUGCAGUGAGGAAUAUUGGUCAAUGGGCGCGAGCCUGAACCAGCCAAGUAGCGUGAAGGAUGACUGCCCUACGGGUUGUAAACCUCUUUUAUAAAGGAAUAAAGUGAGGCACGUGUCCCUUUUUGAGAGUACUUUAUGAAAAAGGAUCGGCUAACUCCGUGCCAGCAGCCGCGGUAAUACGGAGGAUCCGAGCGUUAUCCGGAUUUAUUGGGUUUAAAGGGAGCGUAGAUGGGUUGUUAAGUCAGUGGUGAAAGUUUGCGGCUCAACCGUAAAAUUGCAAUUGAUACUGGCAGUCUUGAGUACAGUUGAGGUGGGCGGAAUUCGUGGUGUAGCGGUGAAAUGCUUAGAUAUCACGAAGAACUCCGAGUGCGAAGGCAGCUUACUAAGCUGCCACUGACAUUGAUGCUCGAAAGUGUGGGUAUCAAACAGGAUUAGAUACCCCUGUAGUC